AGAGGGUGCGAGCGUUGUCCGGAAUCACUGGGCGUAAAGGGCGCGUAGGUGGCCUGAUAAGUAGGGGGUGAAAUCUCGAGGCUCAACUUCGAGGCUGCCUCCUAAACUGCCAGGCUUGAGCAGAGUAGAGGCAGGUGGAAUUCCCGGUGUAGCGGUGGAAUGCGUAGAGAUCGGGAAGAACAUCGGUGGCGAAGGCGGCCUGCUGGGCUCUUGCUGACACUGAGGCGCGACAGCGUGGGGAGCAAACAGGAUUAGAUACCCUGGUAGUCCACGCCGUAAACGAUGGGUACUAGGCGCCGGGGGGAGCGACCCCUUCGGUGCCGUCGCUAACGCAAUAAGUACCCCGCCUGGGGAGUACGGCCGCAAGGCUG
rnacentral:rRNA from 1 species